UGAAAUAUCCGAUUUUGUUUACCACGCUCGGAGUUAUAGUGCUGGCCUGAUGGGUCGCCUAUUUACACCGUUUCAACGGCACAUGAACGGUUAGACCGAGAAUUCUCGUCAUGAAAUUAAAAUUCUACAGUAAUAGGGCUCAAUGCUGUAUUAGUGUGUCUUAAAGGAACAGUGAUCUCUGCUGUGGGAGUGUGUGUGUGAGAGAGAGAGUGUGCGCGUGUGUGUGUGUGUGUCAGUGUUGGGGAAGUUACUUUUAAAAAGUAGUGUUUGCUCGUUACUCGUUACUUCUUAAAAAAAUAACCCGUUCCUUUACUUUUUAUGUUACUCUUGCGUUACUUUUAUGUUGCUUGACUUUGGGCAGAACCCAAUAUCUGUUCCUAAAUGUGUAGGCCUACAUAAAGUUCUACUUAUGAGGACAUAACAGGUAUUUCUUUUGUGCUCUUUAUUAUAACAGAUGCCACAAACAGAGCACAUUGGGUUAUUAUAGGCUUCAACACCACCACUAAAGCCCUAUGAAACAAUAUCAAAUAACGAUACAUCUUGGGCAUACAGGUGAACACAAAAUAUAUGAACGAUAUCAAACCUCGAUACAUCUUGGGCAUACAGGUGAACACAAAAUAUAUGAGGGCUUAUUUUAUAGCCUUAUACUCUUUCAUUAAACAGACUCCCCCGAAAUUGGUGCAAAGCUAGUGCAAAUAGGCUGGACAAAAGUUUCUCACCAGGGCACAGUGUAGGCUACACCUUACACUCACAUUGCUCCCCUUAGUUUUAAUGAGUUUGAAGUAAUGGGGAUACCUUCAUCCCUCAAAAGUUAGCGCUGGCUGCCUGUCACUUGCCAUAAUUGCUCUCCAUGCUGCCAGCCUCUGUCACGUACCUUGUGGAACUCGUGCCUAUUGCGCCAGCGCACGUUUCAAAAAGCAGUGUCGCUGUCAAAUCUGUCCCUGGGAAAAGUAACGUUGCACCGAUUUGAAAAAGGAACUAUGUUUCGUUACUAAAUUUUCAGUAGUAGCGUGUUACACUACUUUUUACCCGAAAAAGUAGUUACGUUACUAUAACGCCUUACUUUGUAACGCAUUACACACAACACUGGUGUGUGUGUGCCUGGGUGUGUUUGUGUGUGUGUGUGUGUAUGUGUCAGGAGUUCUGUUCUAUUCCUUCAUGUGUACCUCAUAAACCUGAAUAUGUUUAUCUGCAUGUGUGUUUGUUUGUGUGUAUGUUUGUUUGUUUGUUUGCUGCAGACAGAGAUACCGGUGUAUAAACCUAGCCUGUCUAACAGGAGGAUGUUUACUUGAAUUUUACACAAUGGAGUAUUUUUGUCGUCAAGUUUUAAAAUAAAACAACCUUGUGAUGGUGUGAA